GGGUAAAAGCGGAGCCAGUGCACAGGCUGUUUACCAGUGUGGUUCACACUUUUAAAAGUUUAGACCGAGGAAAUACAGCUAACGAAAGUGUCAGCAACACAGAUGAAAGUGAAAGAGGCACUCCCUUCUUCGGCAAUGUUUUUGAGCAGGAAAUAGAGACAUAGGAGCACCAGGAGGAAGAGGGUGAAGUCGACUAGAAUGAACCCCAGCUCAAAGAGCAGUCCCAGAGAAGGAAAAGAAGGAAAUCCUGUGACGUUGUUCUGGAGGCUACCAAAAUUGGUUGAAUUCACUGGGAGCCGUCCUCAGCCACCGAAAGAAGAUCCGUUUUGUGCUUUCUUGAAAUCACUCUGCAUGUGACCCGCGAGAAAUGAGUGUCGUGUGGGGUGGAGCGUGGGGUUGCAUUUGCGAGAGGCACAAUGCACGAAAUCUAUCUCGCGUUGAUGCGCAGACGGGACUUGGCGGCGGUAACGCCACAGCCAUCCACCUCUGCCUCGGACAUGAACCAGCCUGCAUUUCAAGAGGCGGGGACGGAGAAGGAGGAAAAAUUGCGAAGUUUAUAGAUUAUUUUCGUGAGUACAUUACGAUCUACAACUGCUGAUAAUUAAAAAUAGUUCUUACUGACUA